UGGGGAAUAUUGGACAAUGGGCGCAAGCCUGAUCCAGCCAUGCCGCAUGAGUGAUGAAGGCCUUAGGGUUGUAAAGCUCUUUUGUCCGGGAAGAUAAUGACGGUACCGGAAGAAUAAGCCCCGGCUAACUUCGUGCCAGCAGCCGCGGUAAUACGAAGGGGGCUAGCGUUGUUCGGAAUCACUGGGCGUAAAGCGCACGUAGGCGGACCUUUAAGUCAGGGGUGAAAGCCUGGAGCUCAACUCCAGAAC
rnacentral:rRNA from 1 species